rnacentral:rRNA from 1 species
UACAGAGGUCUCAAGCGUUGUUCGGAUUCAUUGGGCGUAAAGGGUGCGUAGGUGGCGCCGUAAGUCAGGUGUGAAAUCACGGGGCUCAACCCCGAAACCGCACUUGAUACUGCGGUGCUUGAGUACUGGAGAGGAGAUUGGAAUUUACGGUGUAGCAGUGAAAUGCGUAGAUAUCGUAAGGAAGACCAGUGGCGAAGGCGAAUCUCUGGACAGUUACUGACACUGAGGCACGAAGGCCAGGGGAGCAAACGGG